rnacentral:rRNA from 1 species
AACGAACGCUGGCGGCAUGCCUAACACAUGCAAGUCGAACGAGAUCUUCGGGUCUAGUGGCGCACGGGUGCGUAGCGCGGCGGAAUCUGCCCUCAGGCUCGGAAUAACCAUUGGAAACGAUGGCUAAUACCGGAUGAUUACCUCAAGUCCAAAGGUUUACCGCCUGAGGAUGAGCGCGCGUAGUAUUAGCUAGUUGGUUUGGUAAAGGCGCCUCAAGGCGAGGUUCCUUAGAUGGUCUGAGAGGAUGAUCCGCGACACUGGGACUGAGACACGGCCCAGAAUCUUACAGGAGGGGGGAGAGGGGGAUAUUGGCAAACCGGCGAGAGCAUGAAGGAGCAAGGCCGGGUGAGUGAUGAAGGCCUGAGAGUUGUAAAGCUCGUUUACCCGGGAUGGUAAUGACGGUACCGGGAGAAUAAGCUCCGGCUAACUCCGUG